UUGCCCGAUGAUUAUAAAAAGACGCGUUAUUAAGAGGACUUAUGCUGGAGUUCUUUUCUUUUUUCUCUCUUUUUCUUUUUCUUUCUUUGAAUGUCCAGCGUCCUAUGAGCGAAGAUUAUGAGAUAUGAGGGCAA
rnacentral:snoRNA from 1 species